UGUAGCACCCUCAGCCAACUUAUCCAGCUGAAACCCUUGGCUAAUUUAUCCAGCUAGAACUAAACUUGGCAUUCACUAUCCAUCCCUUCUCUACACAGAACAAGCCCACUAGUCCAUGGUGAGGCUACCCUUGGGGCAGAUGACUGGCAGUUGUUAGUGACUUCAUCCCUGAUGACCUCACCUUUCCUGUGAUGCAAAAUGAGGGCAGUGCCCAAGAUUCUCCAGCACUACUCCUAUUGAUGAAGAAACCUCUGCGACACUGGGAGUUUUGCCUCGGAGCCGCUGAGAGGUUUUAAAGAGAUAACACAUGGAAAAUCUCAUAUACUCCCAUAAGGGGAUUCUCCUCGCCGCCUCCAGCCACCCUGAGACAUGCAGUGUGUUCACUUUGGAGUAAUGCAGAUCGCCCUGCAAAGUUUUUCCCCGAGACUUUCGUUUAUUGGACAGCAGCCCCUCUGCGUGUCAACUCCUCUGCAAGAGCUCACGGGCCCAGGCCUCUCAGCUGUCCUCACCCUGAACGGACCAGAGGGCCUCUGAGACCCGCAGCACAGUCCAGUCGGAAAUAAAACCGCUCUGGGGAGGAACCCGGCCCCUAGAAUUUCACACUCCAACAGGUCGCAUGCCCUGCGUCUGGAAGGCAGCCGCGGCCCGCGCGGGAACCAG
rnacentral:lncRNA from 1 species